rnacentral:rRNA from 14 species
CGUGCCAGCAGCCGCGGUAAUACGUAGGGUGCAAGCGUUGUCCGGAAUUAUUGGGCGUAAAGAGCUCGUAGGCGGUUUGUCGCGUCUGUCGUGAAAGUCCGGGGCUUAACCCCGGAUCUGCGGUGGGUACGGGCAGACUAGAGUGCAGUAGGGGAGACUGGAAUUCCUGGUGUAGCGGUGGAAUGCGCAGAUAUCAGGAGGAACACCGAUGGCGAAGGCAGGUCUCUGGGCAGUAACUGACGCUGAGGAGCGAAAGCAUGGGUAGCGAACAGGAUUAGAUACCCUGGUAGUCCACGCCGUAAAC